GCCCGGGUGGUGGAAUUGGUAGACACUGGGGACUUAAAAUCCCCUGGCUUAACGGCCGUGCGAGUUCGAGUCUCGCCCCGGGCACCA
rnacentral:tRNA from 1 species